UAUAUACAUAUAUACAUACAUACAUACAUACAUAUAUAUAUACAUACAUUAUAUUGUAUUGGUUAUUAUAUUGGUUAUCGGUAAAAAAGCAAAUUUCGCGCAUCCCAAGCCUCAAGGUAUGAGAUAAGAUCUAAUGACAGGAACCACCUGUCAUUAGAUCCAACUCAUCAGGUGGUGAUCAGUGACCAGCUCUGACCGUGUCUUUAGUCUAGUGUUUAAGACAUAAAACCAUAGGUCUGAUGAUCCACUUAGAAGAAAGGAGGCCAGUUAACAAUAGACGUAAAAGUAAUCAGAGUAUUUAAGGUGAAAAUGUGCUAAAAAGAUUGUUGUACUCAAAUUUAAACACGUUUCUCUGGCUAGAAAUGUUUUUUUCCUACACAUAAAGGGCAUCCUCUCCAGCCUCAGGACCGUCCUCUCUGGCUUUUCCACAGCAUGGUUCUGAAUGACACUGCUGAAAUGAAGGGAUUUUUUCCCCAUUUAGCGGGACUUGGGGAGUGUUUCAUCUCAUUGCUAAAAUGACAGCUUUUAAUGCUGCUGCAUUCAUAACCCAUUCCUCUUAUCGCUCGCACCCCCAACACUUGAUGGAAUUUGCCAUCACACAAUGGUUGGAAAAUACACUUCAAAGAGGAGAUGCAUCUAAUCUCCUCUACUCUGCAUAUUGCAAAUUUGCAGUGGUAAUAAGAUCCCGCCUUCCCAAGCAUUCUUAGGGAUCUAAACGAAGGACGGGAAUUUCAUCUAUUUUUCGUGCCCCUUCUUCUUCUUUAUAUCCUGCUUUUCUCCAGAUUGGUGUCGGAAGGACGUGUGUUUUAGAGGCUGUGAGGCUGCUUGAAAGAAUCUCUGCAAUGACGGUCCUGCGUCACUGAGGAACUCAUCCCAUUCUUACGUAAAAGCCCCACUUUAUAGUUUUCUUCUACACACAACGAGAGGCACAGCACAGUGACCUAGUUUCCAUGUUGCCCAGAAAGGUCCGGCACAACUCCCUCAGAACAGCUAUAAACACAAACACCUGGUUCAGAGCUUCCAGUUGGAUUAAGUGAUGCAGCUACAUGAUGGGAGAGGUUCAUCUGUUUUCAAAUAAUUUUCUGCAGAUGGGAAUGUGGUCAUGUAGCCCCACAGGUGACACCGGGUAUGGCGUUUAAAAUGGUGGAGGCUCAUAAAUGAAGACAAAGCUGCUGGAAACGCUCUGCCCGAGUCUCCGUGUCCUACAUUAACCACCCUGGCCCCUAAAGGCAAUCUUUACUCAUGAAGAAUGCUGUGGAUGGAGAAGCACUACACUGGAGUCUGAGAGUUAGGCAAACCUGGAUAGUAAGAUUAAGCUGGCUACUCAGUAAAUAAGCCAAAGAAAACUACACAAUCUUUUAAUCCAAAAGAAUUAAACACCACCACAUUAGGGGCUCUAAAGUAUCUCAUGGUCAUGUUCAGAUCUACAGUAAGGUCAGGGCAGCAUCUACAGACUCUGAGCUGGUCUGUUGUGGUGAAGACGGACUGAAGCUGGAAGGUGAAGAUCUUAAUUUAUUGGUUGACCUACAUUCCAUCCCCCACCUAUAGAGCUCCGGACGUCAUGUGGCAGGCAAAAAAAGGUAAACAAAAUGAAUGAGAUCGGCUUGGAUUUUACUCCGUCGGAGUUUACUUCACACUUAACCGAAGAAAUCGUUUUAUAUAGUCAGAAAUUAAAUAGACUGUUUAGUCUCCGACCCUUACCAUGCCCCCGGGAUACUUUUUAAAAUGCCACAAGCUGCUGGAGUGGACCUCGUACUGGACUUGAGAUACCCUGACAAUUAUAAUUUCCUUGUUAAUUUUCCCUCGUCCUACUAUGGAGCAUCGCUAAGAGCAUAUAAAUGCCUGGAGGGAUACAAAUGGACUCAAUCAGGGUUUGUUGUCGGUAUCCAGAUCUGGAUUAUUCAUGCAAAGGACAGCACUGUUGUCACCGGGAGGGUAAGUGGAGAUUUUUGUUACCAUUAGCAACACCCCUUUGCAAGGUUAUGUCUGUGUGAUCUGACAAUUGAUGAACCAUUGCUUAAAAAUGAAAUACAGCUUAGCCGGUUAAUUGCUGUGAUCAUAAAACACGUAAACGGCAGCACCCAGAAAUCACGAGGCAACGUUUUACGUGAUGUUUACUUGUUGCUAUGAGUAAUAAGACAGAAGAAGCCACGCCAAAAUAAGUUUAGGAAGCCCACUAAGAAUCGUAAUAAAAGCAUUUAAAAUAAAUGCCAUACACAGUUGAGGAAACGUUGGUUUAAGUACCUGAUAUGAAGUGGUCGCUGCAUAAGCGAAAACCUUUACUCUCUGGAUCCUACAGGUUCAUUUUAACCUGGAGACUAGUUUCACUGUGAUGAUCCAACAUUUGCGGCGUUCCGGAUCUUGGGGAAUCCUGUAGACAGCUCUUCCCUUAUCUCAUCCGGGUCUGUUCCGGCAUCCUGGGACACAACAGGAACCUUCCAUAUUUUCCGUUUGAUUGAGUUUUCUGACAAUAACAAAUAGCCUAGCUGUGGGCUACUGCCUGCCAAGAUGGCACCGUUCGAUUUGAACUGUUGCAUGCCGGGAGAAGUGGCGUCAGCUCCCGGAGCUCUAUGGUCAUGAGCCGUGGGUAGAAACUAGGGAUGGACAAUAUACUGGCAUCAAUAUCGGUAUCGGCCAAUGUUGGUCAUUUUUUAACAUAUUGGUAUCGUUUCGAUUAAAAAAACUGGGCCAAAAUUAACCACAAUAUAUAUAAUAACGUAAAUUCAGCUUUAAUAAUUUUCAUUCUAUACAAAAUUUGCUGAUUUUAGAAGCAUUAAUGUCAGUAUAUCGUUAUUGGAAAAUACUGGUUAUCGGCCAUGUAAUGGAAAUUUUAUGUCUAUUAUUUCUUGAUCAUUGAUUCAAUCAAGUGAAUGUAAUAUGUAUUACUCUAUGCCUCUUUGGAUGCUCAAUUAUUCAGACACACACACACACACACACACACACACACACACACACACACACACACACACACACACACACACACACACACACACACACACACACACACACACACACACACACACACACACACACACACACACACACACACACAAUCUCUCUCCCUCACUCCCAUUUCUUUCUUAUCUUUCUGUUUAAAUAAAGUCUGUGACCAGAUGUUCGGGGCGUUUUGCCUUGUGCUUGUGCCACAGUUAUAACUGGAUGACUUGUUGUCUCAUUGUGUCCUUUUCCCUUCGACUACAGGAAAUGGGUUGUUGAUAAACAAAUUGAUAAAAUCCCUAACAUCAUUUGGUCCUUCGAGAGCCCCGGUCCCAUCACGUCGUGGCGCCAAGAACUGACGCCGGAGGACUGUCAACAACCUAAAUCUCCUCCAGCGCUGAAUUUCGCUGGGGGUUCGGUGUGAGGGUCUUGACGUCGCUAGGAAGAAAUGCGGAUCCACGAACUACUCAAGACCUGAGUGGAGAGAUUUGGUCAUGGAACCAGGAAAUUGGGUUUUGAUGAAUGUGCUGAAGCAAGACAAUUGGGGCAGCCAGAGGUCCAUUCGAAGUACUCCUCACCACUCCCACUGCUGUGAAGAUUGCUGAGAGGCCAUCUUGGAUUCAUCUAUCCCACUGCAAGCUUAUCAACGUCAACCGCCACUAGGGUGGCAACGAAGUCCAGCUUCACAGGUGUGUUGGCAACAAUAGGUGUUCAUGUCUCAACCCCAGUGAAGAUAAGAUCAAGAUAAUGAUAAGAUAAAGAUCUGCUUCAAGCUUGCUGGGUUCACCACAUUGCCGAUGUUGGUGCACGUUCAUGGCCUGCACUUGGGCCGCCUCUCAGCACCUGAUGGAACAACUGGGACAGCAGCAUUUUAGGGGGUACUAGAACUGGAACUGAAACGAAGGAUUGGGGUUCCUCACUGACCUGAAGGAAUUUUCGAGGAACAAGAUCAGCUCCCUGACAAUUGGACAACCGCCUCGACACGCCACGGAAAGACCCUGACGUCUUUCUAUUGAGAAGCUGAACUGUGCGCUUCUACACUACGAACUCCAUUAUCGCACUCCAGACCUAGACUUCAAGGUACUAAUCAACGUGAGACUGAAACCAUCCUGAGCAACGGAAGAGGACUCUGACUUUCACACCUAUUCUCCAACCGGGACUCUCAGUCCACGGACAAGCCCUUUGAUGAAGAACGCCUGGGUUGCCUCUGCUCUGCCAUGGUUAGACCUGCGUAAAUUAAUAUUACACGUUAAAUUUUCUUCCUUCACAGAAAGACUCGUCUACAAGCUUUAAACUAAAUUCACCUGACGUUUCAAUACACUGUACUGAUGUUUUCUGAGUAUUAUAUGGUUUUGCGAACCCUUCCCAAUCUCCUGACAGGAACUGCCAUAAAUUGUAGAAUUGUGCAUCACAGUAAAUUCACUUCAAUAUAUAUGAUAUAGCUCUCCUUAAGUUUAUAAUUCAGGAAUAAUAGGUCAACAGUCCAGGCACUGAUUGAUCUUAUUGAGGAGAUAACAGAAUGCAUUGACAAAAAGAAUCAUGCAACAGGGUCGUUUUUAGAUCUGAAGAAAGCUUUCGAUACAGUAAACCAUGACAUAUUGAUGAGAAAAAUGGAAAAAUAUGGUUUCAGGGGUAUAGUAUUGGACUGGAUAAAAAGUUAUUUAUCAAAUAGACAACAAUAUGUGCAAAUAAAUCAACAUAAAUCAGGACUAAGAGAGAUACAAUGUGGGGUACCUCAAGGAUCAGUCUUAGGACCUAAACUAUUCAUAAUGUACAUAAAUGACAUUUGUAGCGUUUCACAAGUAUUGAAGUUUGUAUUGUUUGCAGAUGACACAAAUGUUUUUUGCUCAGGUGUGGAAUUGCAACAGGUCCUGGAUGUGGUCACAAAGGAAAUAAAUAAAUUUAAAAAAUGGUUUGAUGUAAAUUUACAUUGUUUGGUAAUGAAAGCAGAUACAAUGAAUUAGAUAUAGUAAUUAAUAAUGUAAAAAUUGAGAGAGUAUAUGAAAUAAAAUUUCUUGGGGUGGUCAUAGACAGCAGAACCUGUUGGAAGCCACUAGGAUUGUCACGGUAACCGGUAUAGCGGUAAACCCUGGUAAAAAAGUUGACAAUAAAAAUAACCGUCCAGUUUUUAAAAAACUAAAUUAUCUCGGUGGGUUUACCGUGGCCGCGGUUUAGGCGCGGUGACCCUUACCAGCCACCAUUGCUUCUGCUUAAGUUCCCGCGCACACGCACUUUUUAGUUUGCAACCAAAACUUUGAAGCUGAAAUAAUGGCCGAAGGAGGAGACGGCAGCGCCCAGGACAUCCAUCAGCCCUAAAAGAAGACUAAAUCGGAAGUAUGGGCAUAUUUUGGAUUUCUGAAAAAUGCUGAGGGACAGUUAAUAGAAGACUGCUAUCCCGUUUGCAGGACGUGCAGGAAACAAGUGUCUGCAAAAGGCAGCAACACUUCGAAUCUAAUGGCACAUCUGCGUGACCAUCACCCACGUCUCUACAGCCAGUGCAAGGUAAGUUAACAUUAGCAUUUUAGCUUAAAUGCAUGACGUGAGGACUUUUGGUUGAGGGAGAAUGCAACGAGUCACUGUACACUGCAGCCGCAGCGUCCUCUGCCAGCAUUUAAACCGUGUCACGGACACCCUGUUGCUGGAUGAAGCAUCUUAUUUGUUGAUGAUGAUGAGAAAUAUACAAUUAGUUCCUUGUCAUUGAUUUGUUUACUUAUUCAGUGCCAUUUAUACUUGAACAUUUGGAUUUGAUUACAUAGUGUAGUAGUUAUUUUAGUAAUUUGUUUAAAGUGGCUAUUUAUUUUAAAUACAUAUUUUUUUAAGGUUGACUUGUACAGUGCUCAAGUCAAGUGUGGACUGGAGUUUUAGAUUUUCAUUUUGAUAAUGAAGAAAACAAGUAUAUGAGAAAACAAGUGGUGUUUCUUUAAUUUGUUUACAUAUUGUUUAUGUUUCGAAUGUUUGGAUUUGUAUCAUUUAAACCUGCACUGACUACAGUAACAUGUUCCAGAAAAAGAAGCUAUUUGUUCCUUUACUUGUGAAAAGUUGCACUUUUGCUAAGGCUUUGUGUUAUUUUAGGUUUAAUAAACACUGUUAAACCUUUUCAAAACUAUUUCAGUUUGUGUAGAACAGGACUAUCAAUGCUUUCUGAACAUAUGCAACACCGUUAAAAAAAUACCGCGAUAAUACCGAAAACCGUGAUAAUUUUGGUCACAAUAACCGUGAGGUUAAAUUUUCAUACCGUGACAAUCCUAGAAGCCACACAUCAAAUAUGUUAGGGGGAAGCCUGCACGGGGCAUUGCUAUAUUGGGGAAAGCUAAGUAUAUUUUUAAUCAGAAAGCACUUUAUAUGUUAUACAAUACGAUGCUACUGCCAUAUUUGAGCUAUUGUGUAGAGGUCUGGGGAAAUACGUACAAAAGUAAUUUACAAACAAUAACGACAAUGCAGAAAAGGGCUAUCAGAUUAAUAACAAAUGCAGGAUAUUUGGAUCACACAAAUGAACUUUUUAUUAAAACGCGGACAAUGAAGUUCCAGGACUUGGUUAAAUACAAAACAGCACAAAUAAUGUAUAAAGUAAGAAAUAAAUUAAUGCCUGAUAAAAUACAGAAACUGUUCACAGAGAGAGAAGGAGGAUAUAACCUGAGAGGGACACUAAACUUAAAGAUACAUAAGUUUAGAACAACAUUAAAACAGAUGUGUAUCACAAUAAUAGGGGUUAAAUUAUGGAAUAAUUUAGAAGAAGAAAUCAAAGUAAGUACAAAUAUAAAUGUGUUUAAAAUGAAUUAUAAAAAAACAUUCUGAACAAGUAUAUAGUGGAAAAUGGAUGAUUUAUGUGGUUGUCCUUUAUUCUAAGGAAAAGUAAAUGUGAGCAUCAAUUGUAAAAAGAUGUGUUUUUUUUCUCUCUUUUUUAGUUUUUUUCCAUAUGGUUUGAUGGUUUUUGGUGACUUGUACCAUUUUGUUUGUUUUAAUGUAGGUUUUGUGUUACAUUUAGUAAACAAGUAAAAAUUACUUGUAUAAAGGGGUAGGGACAUAUAAGUUUUGACUUCAGCCUACUCCUUUUCAGACAGAGAAGAAGAAAAAAAGGGAUGAUGAUAUAUGCAUUUUUUCUGUUUGUCUUUUUUUUAAAUUAUGUAUGUUUUCUUUGUUUUAAAUAAACUAAACUAAAAAAAUUGUGUUGAUUUAACGGAUUCCCGUUAUCUCACUUGUAUUUCUGUAAAAUGCUGUUGAUGUCAUCUUUUAUUAUUUUAUUUGUUCUUUACUGUUUUACUGAUUUUUGUAUCACGCUUGUACGGAAUGAUUCUUUGGACAAAGUUAUCAGGAUUGAGAUUACGAUCCGUAAUAGACAAACGAAUGCGGCACCUCCUGCUGUGUUCACACCUCAUCGUGCUGAUUCUGAACCUUCCCUAUCUCACCGUAGAGUAUUAUUAUUAUUUUUCUUGUUAGAUGCUUAUCUAGCUUGUCUUGAGUUGCUUGAUUUGUACCCUAUUGGGCCUUAUGACAACUGAGGUGAUUACCGUUCCUGGUUUUACCCUUUCCCUAUUCCUUAAGUAGUGAUUAAUGAAGCUUUCAUAGACAAUGGUGUCAAGUUAUGAGAGUGGAUAAAAUUUCAUGCAUGUUAUGUAUAUCUCCUAGCCUGGCAAGCCAGACUAAAUAAAUGUAUUAUUUAGUCUGGCCACGCUCCAUUGACGGCUCUCGGUUGUGGGGCGGGUUCUACCGUUGUCUUUAAAAUGAUCUCCGCAUUCCACUGGACAAUGAAUGUGACAUACUCUUGUUUCACUCUGUUGCAUCAUCCCACCCACCAGGCAUAUAGAGUGCCCUGAUUGGCCCACAAAGCGGAUAAAGCUCUGCGAUUUGUUCACUAAGCAGAUAGAGCACUAUGAUUGGCCCACCAUUAUGGACCAAUCACAGCUCUUUGUGUGUUUGAAACCCCUUUAGAGAACUGUGAUUCGCUAGCCAGAGUCCUGGUAGGAGCUGCUGAGGUUCCAAUGGAGCAUGCCUAGACCAUUCUUUGCAAAGCAAUAAUUUGGUCUAGUUCACUAGGCUAUAUAUCUCCCAUUAACGGGGGGUAUAUGUUAUGAAAAUUUUAUGUCUAUUAUUUCUUGAUCAUUGAUUCAAUCAAGUGAAUGUAAAAUGUAUUACUCUAUGCCUCUUUGCAAGCUCACUUAUUCAGACACACCAGAACAAGCCACUCACACACACUUCUCGACUCCCCCCACACACACAAUCUCUCUCUCUCACUCCUAUUUCUUUCUUAUCUUUAUGUUUAAAUAAAGUCUGUGACCAGAUGUUCGGGGCAUUUUGCCUUGUGCAUAUGCCACAGUUAUAACUGGU